UUAAUUUCUCUCUAGAUGCUGUUACAGAUUCUGCCUCUACAAAUGUGGAAUUGAAGUUUCUGCUCAGUUAAACCAAGGCUUAGGAUAUAUAUUGGGGUGCUGGCAGAAGUUUCUGUCUGUUGAUUCUUGUUCUUGGGCACACAAAUUCAAGAGGGAGGUGGUGAAUAGCGAAGCUGAGCAGCUUGUUCUGUGCAGUCUCAAUCCCAUCAUUUACUGUCACCUUUCUGUGCGCCAUGUCGCUGUUCCUGAUAUAACCACCUCACAGAAUCCACACGGGUGGGCCCAUAACGUGCCUUACCUGGAAAUCUCAGGGUUCACGUGAAGGUAAUGCACAAACACUGUUGCUCUGGAGUGCCAGUUUCAGAUCUCCUCCCAGUGCUGAACACAUGCUGGGGGGUGUAUCUUUGACAGCAUCUAAUCUGCUGGAGUAAUGACAGGAAUUAAUGCUGCAGAGUGCAAUUGAGAUUUUUUUUUAACCUGCUUUUUCCACUAUCCUCAAAAAGGCCUAAGUGGAACCACCCGCUGGAACUCUGCAGAACCUGAAUGUUCUCCUCUUACUGCCAGGUUCUUAAAAGCUCUUGGAAUGUGGUCUUUACGCAACACACCACUUGGUUACCUGAACUGGGUUUUCAGCAGAAAUGUCAACAGUCUCAAGGUAUUGCAGAGCUGAGUGGUUACAUUACCAGCAACCAUUGUUCCUGUCCCCCUCAAUCAUCCUUUGGUGUUAACUGGUAAAUGCAUUUGGCUUGGAAAAGGAGGAUCAAAUCGGCAGUAAAGGUACAUAGAUCCAAAAACCAGACCAAUAAAGCAUAAAAUUAAACCUUGCUUCAGUGUUAGAAAAGGUUUGCGUGUCCUUUCAUUAAUUCUCUAAAUAACAAAACACCCCUAAGCAAUGUUAUGGUAGCCACGCCUGGCAAAGGUGAAAUUAUUAAGACAGUGCUUUUCAGAAAUACCGAGUAUCCAACUUCUGACCUCAGCCUCUCUGAAAUUCAGGCGCGGAAUGUCUCAGUGUUGCACUGGGUCAUGUGACACUGUGUUCUUAGGGUUUUCUGCUCUGGGAAUACACUUCUCUCUUACCUACAUAAGUUGGUAAACAAUGUUACAUCGCACCAGGGGAAGACGGUUCUGCUCUGAUGUCAGGAGCAGCCUGUUUCAUAAAACACAAGACCUUAGACAACAAUCUGGGUAGUGCUACCAGUGACAGGGCACUGGUUUAUUCACCCUUCUUCCCUGGGUACGUGUGUGGGAUGAGGGAAGAAUAUCUAGUUAAUUGCUCAGUCAUAUAAAUGCAGAGGCUCUUUCUCCUGGUCACAACGGGCCAUUGCUCACAGCAUUGGUGUCAGCACAACAUACAGGGGGAUCAAAAAGGGCUGAAAGCAGAGGCAGUGCCCCUGCUCAGGAGAGGAAGUCAGUGUGUCAGAAAGCACUGCAGGUGAACAGUAUGGUCAGGCUUAUUUCUGCGGUUUUCCACAAUUUGCACUGGAAAUCUGAAUGAAGAUUUUCAAAAUUAAAUGCACCUUACUUUUCAGAAUUGAUAAUUUCCAAAAUUGAAAUAGCCUGGGCAGAAGUUACUCACAACUGUCACUGAGCUGCUGACUGGUGGCCAGCAGGCAGAGACUGCAGGAUGCUUGAUCCUUUGCUUUAAUUCCAAGUGUAGCUCAGGGAUCCCAGAAGAUCUGAUGAGAGAGAUCAGAGUUUCUACUUUGAUUUGAAAAUUUCUUCUAUCUUAGAGGAGGAUGAGAUGAAAAACCUGGGAGUCUUUGGAAGUGGAAACCAAAGAUUUGUGAAAAAGUUGCAUGGUAGUUAGAUACUUGAUUCAGGAAGAAAAUGUAGAAGAACAAUUCUGGUAGGGAAAGGAAGAUGGAGAAGGGUAUACAGAUAAUAUGGGAGUGUAAAAGAGGUUGUGGAAGAAAGAAGGAUAAGGAAAAGAAGGAAAACUCACUAGUACUUUAUUAAAAAAAAAAGGAGGGGCAAGAAAAAGGGCAAAACUUUCAGUGAAAAAGUUUAGAACUUCUAAACAUUUCCCAUAUUGUAAGGAGUUCCUGCAACCUUCAAAUAAAUUACAUGAAUCGCAUUGGAGGUCAGAAUGGAAAAAGUUAUUAGGUGGACUUUUUUUCCUGUUACGAUGUGUUUCACAACUCACAAUUUAAGAAUGCAUGGUCUGAUCAGAAUAUGGGCAAAAGUCAUGCCGUAUCUUCUCCUAGAUUGCUCUUUCCAUGAGAUACAAAAUGUCUGCACUGAGAGUGCCCAGUGUUUCUCCUGAUUUGGCCUUUAAGGUUUAAGUUCUUGCAGAAACUAACCAUAAUGAGUGAGCCAAUAAACAAUCCACAAGGCACAAACCUUUCACCCUUGCCAUAUGCAACAACACCCAUAGUUAGUUUUUAUGAAAUAUAUUAGUGUCACCUUUAAAACAGUCAUCUGUAAUGAAAAAUAAUUGAAAUUCAGAGCAACAUCAUAAGGGUCAAAAUGUGUUUCAUUGAAACAUUUUGGAAAAGCUGCCAGCAUUCUGAGAAAUUAAUUGCUGUAUGUGUGUUCCUAUGGGAAAUUAUUAAAUUAAUUGAAAAAGCUAUAAAUUGACUGAUAGCACUUACUAUCAUAAUAAAUGAGCAUCAUAGAGUCAGUUAUUAAUCAGAUUAUAGAUUUAAUGAGGACAGUCUGAUAAGAAUAGACUGUUUUCACCUAAGGCAGUUCCGUGAAGGAAGUCUCUUCAUUUCAAUCUUGAACAUUAUGCACCCAGUUCUAGACAAGUUUCCUGUCAAACAGCCUGUCUGAAUGCAGAAAUCCAGAUCUGCAAAUAUCUAUGAUAAAGAAAUUCACACAUGUUUUCUACUGCAUACAAUACAUGUUCCUUUUUGCCUGUGGACAGACUACAGGAUCAGAUUCUUGGCCCAGAUCCUGCAACAAAACAGGCUAAAAACAGAAAAGAAGUGUCAGGUGCUUGUGUGAGAGGUUAUUAAUUAAUAUGAUGUAAUUGUUUCUGAAUGAGCAGGGCUAACACAGAGAAAAUAAAAGGAAUCCACAGGAAGUGGUUUUAUCAGAACCACAAAAAGCUGUUAAGCCAUUAUUCUGUAGAAAUCCUUAUUGUAGCUGAACCAGCAUGUUUGCUUUUUUUGUGUGCAGUUACUUACUGGACUGGUGAUACAAUAUCCUGCAAAUACUUUAAUAAACUUUGACCUUGAUUUAGCUGCAGCAAUUCAUUAUUUUAUCACGUCAACUCAGCAGAAACAUGAAUGAAAAUUCAUUUCACAUUCCGAAGCGAAGAAUCCUGCUCAGGAAAGGCCAGUAGUGGAACAGCAGGAUGCUGGCAAGCAGGAACCAAGGUAUAUAUUCUGUAAAGCAACAAAACUGGUUUUACAUUUUUCCUGCAUAAAAGACUCCUCUUCUAUCUACCUGCUUCCCUGUGUUAUGCAGAAAUCUGGUAAGUUUACUCUCCUUGUACUUUUCUUCUAUGAAAGAAAAAAUGUUUACAUAUCAAAUGGGGAAGGGAGUAGAGAGAAUGUACCUAAUUGCCUGGCCUAAAUUUUAAUCUUGAAAUUUUGGCAUAGAAUGGAUUUUAGGGAUAUCUGUUUAGCUGUCCUCUUGAACUUGCUACUUGUGUAAAUCAAAUAGGAAAGUUUUAAAAGGUUCGAUUUAGUCUUUUAUCUAAAGAUAAACUAUUAUUCAUUAAGUUGACUUACUGGUGCACAUAACUGUCUUCUCAAGUUUACAAAGGAGAGAGCAAAAGAUAGGUUGGAAAAGCUGGAAAAGUAAGAAAAAAGAAUACUGUGCCAUGCAAGCAAAAACAAAAUGUGUUUUCUUUUUUGUAAUAAAUCACAAACACACAAUUAAAACUGUAGUCUUAAUCCUGGAAACAGGAAAUGAUUAUAAAGACUAAAAUUUUUCUAAACAGGACUAACUUGAAUUCUCUGUCUUACCAAAUAGAAUGAAAUAUUAUAGUUUGAUAAAUGUACAUAUAGCUUGCAUAAGCCUCAUUUGCACACAUACUUAGUUAUACAGCUAAAGUUACAGCUUAAAUAUACUU